rnacentral:rRNA from 1 species
AACGCGAAGGGACUACCUACUCUUGACAUCCAGAGAACUUAGCAGAGAUGCUUUGGUGCCUUCGGGAACUCUGAGACAGGUGCUGCAUGGCUGUCGUCAGCUCGUGUUGUGAAAUGUUGGGUUAAGUCCCGCAACGAGCGCAACCCUUAUCCUUUGUUGCCAGCGAUUCGGUCGGGAACUCAAAGGAGACUGCCAGUGAUAAACUGGAGGAAGGUGGGGAUGACGUCAAGUCAUCAUGGCCCUUACGAGUAGGGCUACACACGUGCUACAAUGGCAUAUACAAAGAGAAGCGACCUCGCGAGAGCAAGCGGACCUCAUAAAGUAUGUCGUAGUCCGGAUUGGAGUCUGCAACUCGACUCCAUGAAGUCGGAAUCGCUAGUAAUCGUGGAUCAGAAUGCCACGGGAAUAC